rnacentral:rRNA from 1 species
AUGAAAGUAAGUAAGAGCGUAUGGCGGAUGCCUUGGCUCUCAGAGGCGAUGAAGGACGUGAUAAGCUGCGAUAAGCUUCGGGGAGGUGCAAAUAACUUUCGAUCCGGA